GCCGCACCCCAGUCGGGGUGCGGCCCGCCGUUUCAGCUAGCGGUAGCUAGGAGCUCAGCUCUGGCCACCCGCGAGCUUCUCACGAAGCGCGGCA
rnacentral:tRNA from 1 species